CUAGUAUAAGCAAUCUAUACAGUGAAACUGCGAAUGGCUCAUUAAAUCAGUUAUCGUUUAUUUGAUAGUACCUUACUACUUGGAUAACCGUGGUAAUUCUAGAGCUAAUACAUGCUAAAAACCCCGACUUCGGAAGGGGUGUAUUUAUUAGAUAAAAAACCAAUGCUCUUCGGGGCUCCUUGGUGAUUCAUAAUAACUUAACGAAUCGCAUGGCCUUGUGCCGGCGAUGGUUCAUUCAAAUUUCUGCCCUAUCAACUUUCGAUGGUAGGAUAGUGGCCUACCAUGGUUUCAACGGGUAACGGGGAAUUAGGGUUCUAUUCCGGAGAGGGAGCCUGAGAAACGGCUACCACAUCCAAGGAAGGCAGCAGGCGCGCAAAUUACCCAAUCCCGACACGGGGAGGUAGUGACAAUAAAUACUGAUACAGGGCUCUUUUGAGUCUUGUAAUUGGAAUGAGUACAAUUUAAAUCCCUUAACGAGGAACAAUUGGAGGGCAAGUCUGGUGCCAGCAGCCGCGGUAAUUCCAGCUCCAAUAGCGUAUAUUAAAGUUGUUGCAGUUAAAAAGCUCGUAGUUGAACCUUGGGCCUGGCUGGCCGGUCCGCCUCACCGCGUGCACUGGUCCGGCCGGGCCUUUCCUCCUGGGGAGCCGCAUGCCCUUCACUGGGUGUGUCGGGGAACCAGGACUUUUACUUUGAAAAAAUUAGAGUGUUCAAAGCAGGCCUAUGCUCGAAUACAUUAGCAUGGAAUAAUAGAAUAGGACGUGUGGUUCUAUUUUGUUGGUUUCUAGGACCGCCGUAAUGAUUAAUAGGGAUAGUCGGGGGGCAUCAGUAUUCAAUUGUCAGAGGUGAAAUUCUUGGAUUUAUUGAAGACUAACUACUGCGAAA
rnacentral:rRNA from 1 species